rnacentral:rRNA from 1 species
CGAGUGGCGAACUGGUGAGUAACACGUGGGUAACCUGCCCUUGAAGUAGGGGAUAACACUUGGAAACAGGUGCUAAUACCGUAUAACAACCAAAACCACCUGGUUUUGGUUUAAAAGACGGCUUCGGCUGUCACUUUAGGAUGGACCCGCGGCGUAUUAGCUUGUUGGUAAGGUAACGGCCUACCAAGGCGAUGAUACGUAGCCGACCUGAGAGGGUAAUCGGCCACAUUGGGACUGAGACACGGCCCAAACUCCUACGGGAGGCAGCAGUAGGGAAUCUUCCACAAUGGACGAAAGUCUGAUGGAGCAACGCCGCGUGAGUGAUGAAGGGUUUCGGCUCGUAAAACUCUGUUGUUGGAGAAGAACAGGUGUCAGAGUAACUGUUGACAUCUUGACGGUAUCCAACCAGAAAGCCACGGCUAACUACGUGCCAGCAGCCGCGGUAAUACGUAGGUGGCAAGCGUUGUCCGGAUUUAUUGGGCGUAAAGCGAGCGCAGGCGGUUUUUUAGGUCUGAUGUGAAAGCCUUCGGCUUAACCGGAGAAGUGCAUCGGAAACCGGGAGACUUGAGUGCAGAAGAGGACAGUGGAACUCCAUGUGUAGCGGUGAAAU